GGUUAAGUGAAUAAGGGCGUACGGUGAAUGCCUUGGCACUAGGAGCCGAUGAAGGACGGGACGAACACCGAUAUGCUUCGGGGAGCUGUAAGUAAGCUUUGAUCCGGAGAUUUCCGAAUGGGGGAACCUCAUUGUUUUUAUCGACAAUGGUCCACUCAGUGAACACAUAGCUGAGUGGAAGGUAGACGUGGUGAACUGAAACAUCUCAGUAGCCACAGGAAGAGAAAGAAAAAUCGAUUUCCCGAGUAGCGGCGAGCGAAACGGAAAGAGGCCAAACCAGCGUGCUUGCAUGCUGGGGUUGUAGGACUGAUGGACGGGAGUGAAUGAGCUAGUCGAACGCCAUGGAAAGGGCGAUCAGAGAGGGUGACAAUCCCGUAGGCGAAAGCUCAGCCACCUCAUUCAGUAUCCUGAGUACGGCGGUACACGUGAAAUUCCGUCGGAAUCCGCCAGGACCAUCUGGCAAGCCUAAAUACUCCCUAGUGACCGAUAGUGAACCAGUACCGUGAGGGAAAGGUGAAAAGCACCCCGGAAGGGGAGUGAAAGAGUACCUGAAACCGUAUGCCUACAAGCAGUCAGAGCCCGUUAAGGGGUGAUGGCGUACUUUUUGUAGAACGGACCGGCGAGUGACGAUAGCAAGCAAGGUUAAGCUGAAGAAGCGGAGCCACAGCGAAAGCGAGUCUGAAGAGGGCGUUGAGUUUGUUGUCGUCGACCCGAAACCAAGUGAUCUACUCAUGUCCAGGCUGAAGGUGUGGUAAAACACACUGGAGGGCCGAACCCACGUCUGUUGAAAAAGGCGGGGAUGAGGUGUGGGUAGCGGUGAAAUUCCAAUCGAACUUGGAGAUAGCUGGUUCUCUCCGAAAUAGCUUUAGGGCUAGCCUCGGAUGAUGACUAUUGGAGGUAGAGCACUGUUUGAUCGAGGGGUCCAUCCUGGAUUACCGACAUCUGAUAAACUCCGAAUGCCAAAUAGUUUAGUCCGGGAGUCAGACUGCGAGUGAUAAGAUCCGUAGUCGAAAGGGAAAGAGCCCAGACCACCAGCUAAGGUCCCAAAGUUUCAGUUAAGUGGAAAAGGAUGUGGGGUUGCUUAGACAACUAGGAUGUUGGCUUAGAAGCAGCCAUCAUUGAAAGAGUGCGUAAUAGCUCACUAGUCGAGUGACCCUGCGCCGAAAAUGUACCGGGGCUAAACUGAACACCGAAGCUGUGGAUCCAUAGGAUGGUAGGAGAGCGUUCUAUAGGCAGAGAAGCAUGAUCGUGAGGACAUGUGGAGCGUAUAGAAGUGAGAAUGCCGGUAUGAGUAGCGAAAGACGGGUGAGAAUCCCGUCCACCGAAUGACUAAGGUUUCCUGGGGAAGGCUCGUCCUCCCAGGGUUAGUCGGGACCUAAGCCGAGACCGAAAGGGAUAGGCGAUGGACAACAGGUUGAGAUUCCUGUACUUGUUUGAUUUGUUUGAGCGAUGGAAGGACACAGAAGGCUAAGCGGAGCGCGGAGAUGGAAAAACGCGUCCAAGCAAUAAGUGAGAAGGUGAGUGAAAGGCUUGCCUCAGACUUCAUGAGUUGUGACGGGGAGGGAAAUUUAGUACCGAAGCCGCCGACGUCACGCUGUCAAGAAAAGUUUCUAGUGAGAAUCAAACAACCCGUACCGCAAACCGACACAGGUAGUCGAGUGGAGAACACUAAGGUGAGCGAGCGAACUCUCGUUAAGGAACUCGGCAAAAUGACCCCGUAACUUCGGGAGAAGGGGUGCUGACCGCAAGGUCAGCCGCAGUGAAUAGGCCCAAGCGACUGUUUAUCAAAAACAUAGGUCUCUGCCAAAUCGAAAGAUGAUGUAUAGAGGCUGACGCCUGCCCGGUGCUGGAAGGUUAAGAGGAAGGGUUAGCGUAAGCGAAGCUCUGAAUUGAAGCCCCAGUAAACGGCGGCCGUAACUAUAACGGUCCUAAGGUAGCGAAAUUCCUUGUCAGGUAAGUUCUGACCCGCACGAAAGGCGUAACGAUUUGGGCACUGUCUCAACGAGAGGCUCGGUGAAAUUGUAGUACCAGUGAAGAUGCUGGUUACCCGCGACAGGACGGAAAGACCCCAUGGAGCUUUACUGUAGGUUGAUAUUGAAUGUUUGUGCCACAUGUACAGGAUAGGUAGGAGCCAUCGAAGUCGGGACGCUAGUCUCGAUGGAGGCACUGGUGGGAUACUACCCUUGUGGGAUGACCAUUCUAACCCGCGACCAUUAGCUGGUCGGGAGACAGUGUCAGUCAGGCAGUUUGACUGGGGCGGUCGCCUCCUAAAGUGUAACGGAGGCGCCCAAAGGUUCCCUCAGAAUGGUUGGAAAUCAUUCGCAGAGUGUAAAGGCAGAAGGGAGCUUGACUGCGAGACCUACAAGUCGAGCAGGGACGAAAGUCGGGCUUAGUGAUCCGGUGGUUCCGCAUGGAAGGGCCAUCGCUCAACGGAUAAAAGCUACCCUGGGGAUAACAGGCUUAUCUCCCCCAAGAGUUCACAUCGACGGGGAGGUUUGGCACCUCGAUGUCGGCUCAUCGCAUCCUGGGGCUGAAGUCGGUCCCAAGGGUUGGGCUGUUCGCCCAUUAAAGCGGUACGCGAGCUGGGUUCAGAACGUCGUGAGACAGUUCGGUCCCUAUCCGUCGCGGGCGUUGGAAAUUUGAGAGGAGCUGUCCUUAGUACGAGAGGACCGGGAUGGACACACCGCUGGUGUACCAGUUGUUCCACCAGGAGCAUGGCUGGGUAGCUAUGUGUGGACGGGAUAAGCGCUGAAAGCAUCUAAGCGUGAAGCCCCCCUCAAGAUGAGAUUUCCCAUACUUUAAAAGUAGUAAGACCCCUGAAAGACGAUCAGGUUGAUAGGUUUGGAGUGGAAGCUUAGCAAUAAGUGGAGCGGACAAAUACUAAUCGGUCGAGGACUUAUCCAA
rnacentral:rRNA from 1 species